GACGAACGCUGGCGGCGUGCUUAACACAUGCAAGUCGAACGGAAAGGCCCUGCUUUGGUGGUGUGCGCGAGUGGCGAACGGGUGAGUAACACGUGAGUAACCUGCCCGUGACUUUGGGAUAACUUCAGGAAACUGGGGCUAAUACCGGAUAGGAGCUCCUGCUGCAUGGUGGGGGUUGGAAAGUUUCGGCGGUUGGGGAUGGACUCGCGGCUUAUCAGCUUGGUGGUGGGGAAGUGGCUUACCAAGGCUGUGACGGGUAGCCGGCCUGAGAGGGUGACCGGCCACAUUGGGACUGACAUACGGCCGAGACUCCUACGUGAGGCAGCAGUGGGGAAUAGUGCACCAGGGGCGGAAGCCUGAUGCAGCAACGCCGCGUGCGGGAUGACGGCCUUCGGCUUGUAAACCGCCUUCGCCUGUGACGAAGCGUGAGUGACGGUAAUCGGUAGAGAAGCCCCCGCUAACUACGUG
rnacentral:rRNA from 1 species